GAGAGAGAGAGAGAGAGAGAGAAAUAGAGAAAGAGAGUGAAUUGUUGUAUUAUUGAUCAGAUUAUCUCUAAUCCAAGAUUUGUACAGUAUUUAUGCUUGCUAGUACAUUGAGUUUAUGGUUGUAACAAGUGCUAACUUCAGUAACAAAUUACAAACAAACUCCUUAACUGUUCCCUCCUAAAAUACAACUCAGCAAGGAUCCUCUUGACUUGUUGACUUCUCCCUCUUCUUGAGUUACUGUCACAACAUUACCUCCCUCCGCAACAGCAUUCUUGUCCUCAAGAAUGAUCUGUGGAAAUUGUUGUGAAAUAAAAUUCUAUUCCCCCCAAGUUGAUUCUUGAAUUAACAAGGUAUUCCAUUGCACCAACACUUGCUCCACAUCUUUGCCAUCCUUUUGAAUAGUCCUCUUAUUCAAAAUUGCCACAGGACCCUUCCAUAGCCCCUGUUUGUUGAACUUAGGUAAGGAACUAUGAAGAAAUUGAUCUGCUCCCACCUUCUUCUUCAAUAGUGACACAUGAAAAACAUCAUGUAUGGAGGAAUCCGCAGGUAAUUUCAAUUUAUAAGCAACUGAUCCAAUUCUUUGCAAAACUAAAAAUGGACCAUAAUACUUGGCAGACAAUUUCACACAUUUCCUAACUGCCAUUAAUAGUUGUUUAUAAGGUUGCAACUUCAGAAACACCCAAUCCCCAACAUUAAACUCUCUCUCAGUUCUCUUCAAAUCGACAUACUGUUUCAUUCGAUUUUGAGCAAUCAAUAAAUUUUCUCUCAACACAUCUGCCAAUUGUUGUUUCUCUACUAGUAAAUCCUCCACUUUAGCUACUAAAAUUGCAGCAGGUUCUGCUAUAUUAAAAAUGGGUGGUGGAUAUCCGUAUAAGGCCUGGAAAGGAGACAUUUUAAUGCUAGAAUGAAAGCUAGAAUUGUACCACCAUUCAGCUAAACUUAGCCAUGAACUCCAUUUAUAAGGAUGCUGGAAAGUCAUGCAUCUAAGAUAAUUUUCCAAGCAUCUAUUGAGUCUUUCAGUCUGGCCAUCUGACUGAGGAUGGUAGGCUGUACUCAUGUGCAAUUUAGUUCCCAAAGCCUUAAACAAUUGUUGCCAGAAAAGACUGGUGAAGACCUUAUCUCUAUCACUCACCAUGCUUGUAGGAACCCCAUGCAACUUGAAAAUGUUAUCCAAGAAUAUCUUGGCUAUUUUCUCAGCUGAAUAAGGAUGUGCAAGGGCUAUAAAGUGAGCAACUUUAGUGAACCUGUCAACAACCACCAUGAUAACAUCUUUACCUUCAGAUUUAGGCAACUGAUCUAUAAAAUCCAUAGAAAUACAUGACCAUGCAUGAGAUGGGAUGGAUAGUGGCUGCAAUAACCCAGGGUAGGGCAAUGAUUCACCUUUGCAUCGUUGACAUAUGUCACAACUCAUAAUCCAUCUCUCCACCUGCUGCAACAUUUUAGGCCAAUAGAACAAUUGAGACAACCUGUGAUAAGUCACCUUGAUACUUGAAUGUCCCCCAACUGGAGAAUCAUGAGCAGCAGAAAUAAGUCUCUGUUGGAGAUCAAAAGAGUCACCGAUAUAUACCCUGCCCUUGUAUCGUAACAACCCUGCUUUAUAUUGAUAAUGUGGCUUAGAAUGAGGAUCUAUUGUAAGUGCAGUAAUAAGGGCUUGAGCCAAUUGAUCACCCACAUAACUAUUAUUGACUUCUUGCUGCCACACUGGCACCACAGCAGAAAUGGCUUGCAAUUCUCCCUGCUGAUCAGUCAAGGCAUAUCUAGAUAAGGCAUCAACAGCCUUGUUUUCAUGCCCAGACCUGUAAUUGAUUGAAUAAUCCAAUCCCAGCAACUUCAUUAUGCCUUUUUGCUGCACAUAAGUAUGAAGCCUUUGCUGCAACAAAAACUUAAGACUCUCAUGGUCAGUGUUAAUAAUAAAGUGAGCAUUUUCCAAAUAAUGUCUCCAUUUAGUCACUGCCACAAUUACAGCUAAGAGUUCUUUCUCAUAUAUGGAUAACCCUUGGUUUUUUACUCCCAAGGACUUGCUCAAAUAUGCAAUUGGACUCCCAUUUUGCAUUAAAACUGCUCCCAACCCUAUAUGACUAGCAUCAGUCUCCAAAACAAAUGGUUGGGUGAAAUUAGGCAAUGCCAAAACUGGGGCAGAAGACAUCAGUUGCUUCAAUUCAUUAAAAGCUCCCUCAACUUCUUCAUUCCAACAAAAAGAAUUUUUCUUCAAUAAAUUUGUCAAUGGUUUAGUAACAACCCCAUAACCUUUGACAAAUUUUCUAUAAUAUCCUAUAAGACCCCAAAAACUCCUCAAGGACUUCAAUGAGGUAGGCCUAGGCCAUUUAAUCAUAGCUUCAAUCUUUUUAGGGUCAGUAUGCACCCCUGCCCCACUGAUAAUAUGUCCUAAAUACUCUACUUCCCUUACUGCAAAAGAGCAUUUAGAUUUCUUGGCAAAGAGUUGUUGUUGUCUCAGUAUGUCAAAAACUAAGGAAAGAUGUUCCAAAUGAUCUUGAAAUGAUUUACUAUAGACAAGUAUAUCAUCAAAGAAAACCAAAACAAAUUUCCUUAGAAAAGGAUGAAAAAUAUGAUUCAUGAGAGCUUGGAAGGUUGCUGGUGCAUUUGUAAGACCAAAUGGCAUAACAUUGAACUCAAAAUGGCCAUGAUGUGUCCUAAAGGCAGUCUUGGGAAUAUCAGCAGGCUCCAUUCUGAUUUGAUGGUAACCAGCUCUCAAAUCUAUUUUAGAAAACACAGCAGCCCCAUGUAACUCAUCAAGUAAGUCAUCAAUCAUAGGUAUUGGAAACUUAUCCUUGAUUGUGAGAUCAUUUAACUUCCUAUAAUCAACACAAAACCUCCAAGUACCAUCCUUUUUCUUAACCAACAACACAGGUGAAGAAUAUGAACUAGUACUAGGCUGAAUAACAUCAUUAGCCAACAUUUCAGAUACCAACUUCUCUAUUUCUGCCUUUUGGAAAUGUGGAUACCUAUAAGGUCUCACACUAAUAGGUUGUGUAUUUGGCUGCAAUGGUAUGGAGUGAUUAUGGUUUCUAAAAGGAGGCAAUGUCUUAGGCUCCUCAAACAGAUCUUUAUAGUCAUCAAGUAAUCCUUGAAUUUCAUUAUAAUCUGUAGAAGAAUUACCUGAAAUUGCAGCUGUCACAGAAAAGAGCUCAGGUAACUCAGAAUGCUCUGCUGGUUGUGGUUGCAUUAGUGGCACUUCAAUAUAAAAUUGAGGGCUUUGGAAAUCCUUCCCCUUCCUCUGCCACAUCUUAUUAAUGUCUUCACAUUGCAACAUCUUACAAGUAACAGCUUUAUCAUUGAUCCCAUACAAUGUGAUCUCCUUCCCAUUCUUCUUGAAAGUGACUCUAGAGUUUACAAAGUCAAAUAAAACUGGACUAAUAGUCCUCAUCCAAUCUACUCCCAAUAUAAUAUCAAAACUCCCCAGCUCCAACAAUUUGAGAUCAAACACAAAUCUAUGCUUUCCCACCUUCCAAGGAAAUUCAAAACAAGUGCAAUUUGAAAUUAAUUUUCUGCCAUCAGCUACAGAAAUAGGUACUGCAGAAGUUUGGACUAUAGGUAGCUUUAAUUCCCUAGCCACUCUAGCAUCAAUAAAGUUAUGGGUGCUACCACUGUCAAUUAAAAUCAGCAGCUCUCUAUUCAAAUACUGACCUUUCACCUUAAUAGUUUCAGUCCCCAACUUCCCUUCAAUGGCAUUAAGGGAAAGUGUCAUCUCCUCCUCCAUACUACCCAACACAUCUUCCCAUUGCUGAACUUCAAUGUUGCCUUCCCUUUCAAUCUCCUCAUUUCCUUGCUCAAUCCAUUCCUCCCUACUUGAAUCACUCCCACAUAAAGCCAUAACAGUCUUUUGCUUGCACACAUGCCCUGGAAAAUAUUUUUCUCCACAUCUAUAACAAGGUUUGGGCUGUCUCACAUUUGUUUGGUUGUUAGGUUUUGUGGAUAUAGGUGUUUUAGAGGCUUGAGAAUUGGCUGCAUUGCUGGAAGUGACAGACUGAGAUUGUUUUGGAUUAGAGACUGUGAAAUUAGGUUUAGCUUCAUUGUUUGGGGGUUUUGUCAAUUGAGGAUAAUUCUGAUGUAAUUGAGAGGUUCUAAAGGAAGGGUUAUAAGUUGAAGUUUGAGAUCUGAAAUUACCAGCAUAGGAUCUUGAGGGAUAAGUGGACUUCUUGUUGCUUUCUAGUAACUGUUCUUGAAAUUUUGCAAUCUCAAAUGCAUGAGAAGGGGAUGCAGGCCUGACAAUCCUUACCAUAGGACGGAUUUCAUCCCUUAAUCCUCCUAUGAAGGCUGACAGAAAAUAUCCCUCUUCAAGAUAAGGCAUAACCCUCUCCAUCUUUAUCCUCAUCUCCUCAAAUUUAUCCUGAUACUCCAUUACAUUCCCAAUCUGCCUUGUCUUCAUAAAUUCCUCCACAACAUCUUCCAUUCCUUCUUCCCCAAAUCUAGCACAUAAUGCCCUCUCAAAUUCAUCCCACAGCAUUUCACUUUUCCCUUUACUCCAAUUCUGAAACCAAGAAUCUCCCUUAUCAAUCAAGAAGAGACUAGCAAUUCCCACACGUUGCUCCUUAGGAACCUUGUAAAUCUCAAAAUACUUUUCACACUUUCUAAGCCAAACCCUAGGCUCACUAUCAUCACAGGUCACCAACUCAAUCUUGGGCAAAAUUCUUGGAUUAUCAUCAGUGUUUACUGCAAAGGAUGUACUGAAUUGAUCCUUAGCAGUUUUCUUGGGAGGAUUGGGCAGGAUCCCCUUACUUCCCUGUCCUUCAUGUUCACUAUUCACCUCAACUUCCUUAUUCCUUUCAUUAAAGAACCCACACAUCAUUUUUUUCAUCUCAUCCAUUAUUUUUUUUCCCAUAUCAUCUAAUUUCUGCUCCAUUUUCUCCAUUUUCAGAUCCAGCUUCCUCUCGGCAGUUUCUUGCCAAUUGCGCACCUUUUCCUCCAGCUCUUCAAUUCUAACAGUUUCUUGAUUCACCACUUGACUUCUAGGCAUCUCUUGACACCCCUGAUACUGAUCUGGAUCAAAGCCCCCCCAGGAACCAGGCUCUGAUACCAAUUUGUCAGUAGUUACCUAGAAUUAAGGGUUUCUACUGACUACAGAGAGUUUAGAAGAAUAUAGACAGAAAGGAGGAAGAAGAAAGAGAGAGAGAGAGAUAGGGACGAGAAUUAGAAUAAGAGAGAGAAGAAAUUUAGAGAGAAAGAAGUCUGAGAUUUUAUUGAUUUCAGAAUGAAUCUCAAUUACAUGAAUGACAGCUAUUUAUAGUAUUACUUGAUAACUGUCAUUGACUAAUUUCAACAGCUAUAACAACUUCUCAACAAACUAACAGUUUUUUUCCCUCCAAAACAACUACUCUUCUUUUCUAUUUCUAAACUUUCUCCUCCUAUACGUGACAAUUUCCCUCCCUUUAGAACCUUCUUGACCCCAAGAAGGUUUAAAUGAUGGAAACUGAGCUUGCAAAAAUGACUGGUCCUCCCAAGUUGCAUCUUCUUCACUGAAAUGCAGCCAUUUAACUAAGCCCUGCAAAAUUGGAAUCCCAUUUCUUUCAAUAGUUCUAAUAUGCAACAGCUUCUCUGGAUGCACUUCCCAAGUAUGAUCUUCUUGUAAAGCUGGAAGGUCCAAGAUUGGAGUGAUAUUGUCCCCUACCUUCCUUUUCAACAAGGAAACAUGAAAAACUGGAUGAACAGUAGAGGAAGGAGGUAUUGCAGUUUAUAAGCCACUGCACCCACUUUAGCGACUAUCUGAAAUGGCCCAUAACACCUUGCUGAUAACUUGAGUGACCUUCUAACUGCAAUAGAAACUUGUCUGUAGGGCUGCAACCUCAAAUAUACCCAAUCUCCAACCUGGAACUCUUUUUCUGCUCUUUUCUUAUCUGCUUGCUGUUUCAUUCUAUGCUGGGCCUUAGUUAAAUUCUCUUGUAUAAUUUCUGUCAUAUGUUGUCUCUCCCGAAGUAAAUUAGUAACAGCCUGGACAGGAGUGGAAUCAGGAAAGGGAAAAUGAAUUUCAGGAGGGUGAUAGCCAUAUAAAGCUUCAAAGGGACUCAUCUUGAGGCUGCUAUGGUGAGUACUGUUAUACCACCACUCAGCUAAUGGUAACCAUUUGUUCCAAGCAGCAGGCAAAUGAUGUGUCAUACACCUCAAAUAACAUUCUAAACAUUGAUUUAACCUCUCAGUCUGCCCAUCAGAUUGAGGAUGAUAGGCAGUAGUGUAAUGCAAUGAAGUCCCAGACAACUUGAAUAACUCUUUCCAAAAGAGACUUGUGAAAACUUUGUCCCUAUCGGAUACAAUGGAAAGAGGCAGUCCAUGAAGCUUGUAAAUGUGACUGAGAAACACUUUAGCAAUAGAAGCAGCAGUGUAUGGAUGAGAGACAGCCAAGAAAUGCCCAUACUUAGUCAUUCUACACACAAUUACCAAAAUAACAUCCUUGCCUUCAGACCUAGGCAAUUGCUCAAUAAAAUCCAUUGAAAUAUGCUGCCAAGCCUGAGUUGGUGCAGGUUAGAGGUUGUAACAGUCCAGAGGUGGCACAGUGUUCUCCCUUACACCUAGCACAAGUAUCACAUUGUUUAAUCCACCCCAAAACAUCCUUCAACAUACCAGGCCAAAAGAAGUGUUUUUUUAACCUCAAAUAAGUCACAUUCACCCCGGAAUGCCCCCCCAAAGGACCGUCAUGGUACAAAGCAAUCAAGUACUGCCUCAAAUCAGUGGAACUACCCACAUAUAGUCUGUUAUGAUAAUAAAGAAACUCUUGCUUCAAUUAAUAGCCAUUUACAGCUGAAUUAUGCAAAGAGAGUUGUUGUAUUAUAGUAGUAGCUUUGGAGUCUCCAUCAUAGCUAUGAAUAAGGUUGGUCAUCCAAGUAGGAAGGUUGGCAGAUUGAAGUGGACAACAGGAAAUAGUAGCAGUCCUAUUAGGUCUCCUGAAAAGGGCAUCAGCAGCUUUGUUUUCCACACCCUUUCUGUAAAUAAUUUUGUAAUCAAGUCCCAAGAGCUUGGAAAUUCCCCUUUGCUGCAACUUAGUGUGUAGCCUCUGCUCAAGCAAAUAUUUAAUACUCUCAUGAUCUGUUUUAAUGAAAAACUGACCUUGCUCUAAGUGAUGCCGCCACUUUAUGACUGCAAAAGUGAUGGCUAACAACUCCCUCUCAUACACAGACAACGCCUUGCUUCUAGGCCUAAAAGCUUUAGAAAUGUAGGCCAAAGGAUGACCUUGUUGCUGUAGUACAACCCCCAUUCCCCAACUACUUGUAUCAGUUUCAAUGACAAAUGGUAAACUAAAAUCUAGUAAUGCCAAAACUAGAGCUUCUGCCAUGGCCCUUCGCAAAGUCUCAAAAGCUUCCUGGGCUGCAUCACUCCACUGAAAAGAGUCUUUUUUAAGCAAGUCAGUUAAUGGUUUACUGAUUAUACUAUACCCUCUCACAAACUUUCUGUAGUAUCCAGUCAAACUCAAGAAACUCCUCAAUUCCUUCACAGAAACUGGAACAGGCCACUGUAAAAUAGCUUGCACUUUCUUAGGAUCAAUAGAAACACCUGCUGCAGUAAUAAUAUGGCCCAAAUUCUCUACUUCUGUCUGCCCAAAUGAACAUUUAGAUAAUUUUGCAUAUAAUUGUUGUUCUUGCAAUACCUGAAAUACCUCCUCCAAAUGUAAAAGAUGGGAAUCCCAAUCCUUGCUCACCACUUGUGAGAAUGGCAAGCUCUUGCAUAUUGGCCUUCCUAUUUUCUUCAAAUUCCAGCGCCUUUAUCUCACAAACCUUGAUUGCAGCACGAAGCUAGUUCAGAAAGAGAGUUGCUAGUGCUUUACUUUCCACAUCUUCAGCAACAAUCAACAAAGAUCAUUGCCUCUGACAAACAUAACAAAUUAUCCAAUAAUUUGAACCCAAUAAAUUGGUCCCUAGAUGUUAAUGACACCCUCUUUGCCGACUUUCUCCAUUGCUUUGGCUAUCAGCUCACUGAUCUCUCUUUCUCCAUUUGCUGAAAUUGUUCCAACCUUUUUAGAAAGGUCAUAUUAGUAGCAUGGUUAAUCAAAUCCAAUGUCUUAAGUCCGUGGCAUUCAUUCCAGCUUCCACAGACUUGCAUCCUUCAACAAAUAUGGCACGGGUGAGGACUGUUGCACAUGUGGUACCAUCGCCUGCCACAUCAUUUGUAGCAUUUGCAACCUGCUUUACAAGGCUAGCCCCUAUGUUCUUGACUCUGUCUUGGAAUUCAAUGCUCUUUGCUACAGUGACACCAUCUUUUGUCACUUUAGGGCCUCCCCAACUUUGUUCCAAAACAACAUUGCGCCCCAGUGGGAAGUCAAAUACAAAAACAAGAACUCAAACGUCUAAACUACACAAUAUUUAAUUGGAGUACGAGGAAUUAAACCCCCUCCUUUUAGCCCCAUAGUCACUUUAACAGCAUCAGCGAGCUCCUCAGCACCUUUAAGCAUCAAAGCGCGAGUUUCAACGCCAAAUUUAAUGUUUUUGGCCGCGUAAUUUCUGCUCCAAGCCAACCUACCGCCAAUCUUCUGAGUACUGUUCUUUGCCUGCUAGCCAACCUAAAAUAAAGGACAACAAAUUACAUAAAAAUGAGAAAGACCCAGAUUGGAAAAUAAUCAAAAGAAGCUAUUUUUGCCAUGCACGGACGCGCGCGCACACACACCGACACUCACAGGUAUUCGGC
rnacentral:misc_RNA from 1 species